CAAACAAAAAACUCCUUGCUUUAGAGUUCAGAAGCAUGCUUGACCAGUCACUUUCAUCCAUCUCUCUCAAAGACAAAACUUGCUGCUACCUCAAAGACAAAACUUUCAUAUGUUGGAAUCAAAUUUAAAAUUCAAUUUCUCCCUCUCUUUCAAUAUCUAAACUCACUUUCUUACUCAUCACUCUCCAUGAAUCAACCAUCUUGGAUGGCAUAAGCCACAAACUCAGGUUUUCUUUUCAAUCUUCUCAAUCAAAUCCUCCGAUCUGUUUCAAGACCCAUCCGCAGAGGUAAAUUCACCCGAACCAUACAACAAGGAAACGGAUUGAAAGAUUUCAAAUACACUAGCUAGACAAACGUACCAUACAGCAAGGAAAUGCUCUAGCUGUGGGUAUAUGAGUAUACAUUCACUAUGGAGUUAGCCUUGCUGGAUCUACUAUGGAGUAUGCAUUUUGGAUUUACUAUGGAGUAUGCUUUUUUAUGAUGGAUGUAUACAAUAUUGUCAUGGAGCCCUUGAUUCAAACAGAAAUACCACAAGAGGGCAAACUGAUGCAAAUGAAACAAGCCAAUUGUAGACUCUACUUUCACUUCAUCAUGUCUCUUCCAUUACCCCAAACAAGAAAUUCCCUUCCGAAACAGAGAAUGGAUAACGUUUGAUCACUUGGUGUCUAUGAAGAAGCUGAAUGAAAAAGAAGUAGUCAGAGUUAUACGGGAAGGCCAAGAGCUUGAACUCAGUAUUAUUCUCCGACCU